GUGUGAGCUCAAGGUGGGGCAGGAGCAGCUCAGAGCUCAGAGGAGUGUAGGGCUGGCAUUGAAAAUCUCCCAUGAGAAAAUCUCUUUCAAAGUGUUUUAACUACCUAUUGAUCAACUGCCAGAAAAUGACAACUUGCUAUCACUGCUGCUAACUAAAGGUAGAGUGUGACCUGCAAAUGCUGGAAGAUGGGAGACUUUGAGGAGCACAUACCAUAUGAGUAUCCUGUGUUCUUUUCAGCUUCUGUCAGAGACAGGAUCCUGAAUAAGACUGAGGCUUGGACUACUGAGUUUUUCAAGAAGAAUCAUCCUUGGAGGUUUACUGGGAAAUUUGGUCAUAACUUUCUGUCCUUUACUAACUAAGUGUUCACAAGCACCAUCUAUGCUCUACCAUAAUAUUUGAAGAAGUCAGUGAAACCUACAAGCCCGGGUUGCCAGUUAUAAAACAACAGUGCUCUAGCAAGACUGUAAAGCUGGCCAGGGAGAAACAUAGUACAAGGUAGCCUGAAAACAUGGGAAUUAGAACUUGAAAGCAAUGGAAUUGAGAAACAACCAUAAACAAGGCGGUUGCACUGGCAAACUCUGACCACAUAUCUGCAGUGCAACUUGCCCCUCUUAGACAGGGCAAGUUUGGUCUAGAUUGAAUUCCUGUUGUAGAUUUGAUAAGGAAAAAGUUUCUCGCACAGUGCUAACUACUGAUGAAGAACUGACAGUUUUUUCAGGAUAUUUGCAGUUUUGAGAGCAAUCAUGUCUAAGAAAUACUGUUCAGAAGAAAAUACUCAGGAGAUGCUAAUUAGCACUAUAUUUUUUUCUAUAAAAUCAUAGAAAAUCCUGAGUUGGAAGGGACCCACAAGGAUCAUCAAAGUCUAGCUCUUAUACUUGCAUAAACUGAGACCCAAGCCUUUGUAAGCAAAUGUUUUGUUAAAAAGAAAUCAUGGAUGCACCACGCUUCUGUAUGGAUACUUACAUAAAAAAGGAUUUUGAAAAGUAUAGUCUUGUGCAAAUAAGGACUAUUCCCUAAUACGCAGAAGUAAUGGGUUUUAAAGAUCUUUUCCUUGCAUACCAGAUUGGCAGACAGAUUGUUUGGAUUUUAAACACUCAGACUAGCAAAAAUGUCCAAAAGUGGGAAAUCACUGAAUUUCAGAUUUGGAUAAUCCCAUCAACCGACCUGUUUUCCCAGCUGGGUGAAUUUUUUGUUGAUUUAGAGGAAAGAAUAACAAAAUCCUUUUUAACUACAUCUUUGGAAAUCCUUACAGAAGCUCAGAUCCCCCAGUCUUCCUUAGAGGAGAUGAUGCACAUAGGGUGUGUGAUGGCAGACACCAAGGGUUUGCUGAUGCAGGGAACACA